GAUAUUUCUUUUUAUUCUUUGUGCAUUCCCCCAGGUAGUGGCAAAGUAUGCCAGCCAAUAGGAGUUCAGGAAAUAUGUUUAAUUUGACUGGUGAUUAGUAGCUUGAUUUACUGAGAGCUUGGUGGCUGUCUCCCUCUUCCUACUUCCUCCUCUUGGGAAAACUGCACCAAGAGCAGCUAUUGUAUGUGAACUUGAAUUACCAUGUGGAAAUGGAGGAACUAGUGCAAUUCUGGCUGUGAGCACCUGGAAGGAAAUGCCCAAGCAGGCACUUGCCACUGAAAUAUGGUUGGAGAGCCAUUCCUGCAUGUUUGAUUCUUGGCAAGGUGGCCUACACCUGUAAUCCCAGUGUCUCCAGAGGCUGCAUUGGGAGGAUCAUAAAGG